rnacentral:rRNA from 1 species
CCCUUAGAUGUUCUGGGCUGCACGCGCGCUACACUGAUGCGCUCAACGAGUUUUAACCUUGCCUGGAAAGGUUGGGUAAUCUUUUUAAAACGCAUCGUGAUGGGGAUAGAUUAUUGCAAUUACUAAUCUUCAACGAGGAAUUCCUAGUAAGCGCGAGUCAUCAGCUCGUGCUGAUUACGUCCCUGCCCUUUGUACACACCGCCCGUCGCUCCUACUGAUUGAGUGAUCCGGUGAAUAAUUCAGACUGCGGCAUUGACCGGUUCCCGAUCGUUGCUGCGGAAAGUUUAGUGAACCUUAUCACUUAGAGGAAGGAGUAGUCGUAACA